rnacentral:rRNA from 1 species
UACAGAGGUCUCAAGCGUUGUUCGGAUUCAUUGGGCGUAAAGGGCUCGUAGGCGGCCAACUAAGUCAGACGUGAAAUCCCUCAGCUUAACUGGGGAACUGCGUCUGAUACUGGAUGGCUUGGAUUCGGGAGAGGAAUGCGGAAUUCCAGGUGUAGCGGUGAAAUGCGUAGAUAUCUGGAGGAACACCGGUGGCGAAGGCGGCAUUCUGGACCGAUAUUGACGCUGAGGAGCGAAAGCCAGGGGAGCAAACGGG